rnacentral:lncRNA from 1 species
AGUUCUAGGCUAGGGUCAUUUUUUUUCUUGCGUUAUCACAGGCAGAGCGUCCAGCUUGCCAAACUCGGCAGAAGGCUCCAGAUAGGGAAACCCGUGGACGCCAAUCUAGAGGACCAAACCGACCCGCUGCGGUCGACCAACCCAAUCUCAUCUGCGAGUCUUUUCGCCUCCAGGGUACCUCCGGGAGCCCAGGGAGCCAGGCGGGGGCGAGAGGGAGCCCCAGAAGGAGCGCAACAGGCAGGUCCCGACCCGUCGGCGAUCACGCGGCGAGUCUCUGCCUCAAACCGUCCGCCGCCUCCGAGCAGUCGCCGGAUUGCCGCCUCCCCACCCCCACCCCUCUCGCUCAGGAGAGGCUCUGCAGCUUGCGUACAGGCCCGCAAGCUCGCCCACGCAUCGGCCCACGCCGCGGCCCUCGGGUUUGCAAAGAUGUCCGCCAAGCCCAAUGCCGGUUUCGUGAACGAGGCUUCUCGUCAGAUUCUGGCCGGUGGUUCCGCUGAGCCCGAGCCCGAGCCCGAGCCGGUGGAGCGCGGGAGCAAAGGAGGCCGGGAGCGGGUGUCCCAGGUCAAGUUGCUGCGGAGCCCGCGCCAGCCGCUCUCUGGUUCCCCGCCUUCUGUGUUCCUAGCCUGGAAAGCAAGGUAGGCAGCCCUCAGGCCUGCAGCUUUGAGGAGGCCUUUUUGUCAGGCUGGUUAUUUUUUGGGAAAAGAGCCAGUUUCCGACAGACUUAUUUCUGCUGUCAAUUGUAGCCGCUUUAUCCCUUCAGCUAACUCAUAACCCCUGCCUCCUUCGUUAAAGUGUUUACCUCAGGACUCCUCCACAGGUUUUCUUAAUGCAUCCUGUGACUGCUUGGAGCUAUUUGUGCCUUAAUAAGCAUACUAAAAUUACAUGAAUAUGUCAACACAUAUAAACACCUUUGAUAUAAUAGGCUUACAUUAAUUUAUGGAGAGUUAUGCUGUGGGGAAAAGCCUUUGGGAGAAAAAUCUGUUAUAACUAAUUGUGGAAAUAAUUACUAAGUGUGGCUAGAAAAAGUUACUAACCCAUGAGAUUAUGUUAUUUGAACGUAUUUUAAAGAUUUUUAAAAAUAUAAAUUAUGAGUUGGUUGAAAAUUUCAUCUUAUAUACUGUGAUGCAUUUUUAUUAUGAAUAUAUAAAAUAAUUACUGUAAUUCACUCAAAAAUAUUUUUAUAAAUGUAAAUAUUCUCUUAAUAAAUUAUGGUAAUGCUAAUAUAAUAAAUCAGUAAGAUUACUCGAUGUCUAAUAUUUAACUCUCACAAGUAAAUUUUAUUUUCAAACAAAUUUAGACUUUUUAUAAAGGACUUUUACAAAUUAUGACUAGUUAUCAUGUCAUGAAAUCCUUGCAUCUGUUGCAUACCAUAAACAGUCAGGUGUAUUACUUGUAAUCUGUACAGUUUCCUAAAGAUGACAUCUUAUUAAUGUGGCAAUUAAGACAUUCAUUUCGUAUAUGUAAUUGUGCUAUGUCCAGCCGUUGUCAUGAUGUCAGUGACCCCAUUUUCUACUUUUUUAGUUGUUUCCCAGUAGUAAGGAUGAAUUUGCACCAAUUUAUUCACCAUUUUGGUCUAAUUCCAUAGUGUCCAAGACUCUGCUAGCUAUCCCUAACUCCCUUGAUUUAUAGUCCAUGACUCUGGUCAAAGAAAACUCAGCUGGGCCAAUAGGGAAAUGGAGCUAAUUAGUGAACAUCCUAACCUAUGACUUGUGAUUCAUAAGCAUCUGUAUAUUGGCUUAGAUGAUCAUACUGGGUAAACUCAAGGGAAGUUAAAAGUAGAUCAGACUAUGGUCCUACUUACACUGUUUUGUUAGAUGAUACAUAUUUGGCAUAAAUAUAAUGUGUUAUUCCAUCAUGUUUUUAUAGUUGUAACUAAUAUGAAUGAAAUUCAGUACAUUUAUAAGAUAAACAUAGUAUAGUUGUUAUAUAUUUAGUACUAUGAAAUUAUUGAGAAAUGAUGAGGAUAAUUUAUACCUUCAUCAUAGUGAAAAAGGGUCAUGUUUUUUCCUACUUGGCCAAUAACAUUUCCAUAAAACUUUAUAUUUAUUGGACUUUAAUAAAGACAGGCUAAUCAUGUUACAUAUACUAGAUCAGGGGUCAAAAAGAAAUUAAUAUAUGAGAGAGGUAGAACAGAUUUCUUUGAGUGAAAAAAGCAAGGCCUGAUAUCACGUAUAAUUUAGCCAUACACUUCUAGAUUAACUGAGAUGGGGCCUAGGUAUAAGAACAUUCUGGAGCUUGGAAGUCAACUAGUACCCACUGUGCUAAGAUAUCUGAUUAUAGCUCUUCUCUGCAGCCACAUUUGCCCAUUGCCAGUAUUGGAAUGAUAGGAGUUUUAGCACAAGGGAAAGUGGUAACAUUUACUUGACCUGCUAUUUCAGAUUCCCUAGCAGUUAAGUUCUGAUUGCUGAUAUUGUCAUCAAAUGCAACACCUCUAUGUAUAUGUGUUAUAUGGGCUUUUGAUGCUAAAGGUUAAAAAUACAUUCCAGCUUUCUUGAGGGUAAAACAAGAAGUUGGAGAAGGUUUACUGGAGAAAUACCUGGGUAUCUCAUGGAAUUCAAAGUCUGAGAUGCUUAUCUGGAAUUGACUGGAAUCUGGAGCUGGAGCACUGGGGCAACUCAGGAAGUGAACUCUUGCCACUUCUUACUUCUUCCCUUACCAAUGGUUAAGCAUUUUCAAGGCAGCAGGGUGGUGGCUAAUAUUAGGGUCACAAGUAAUACUUCUGUAUUCAUUAGGGUGCCUUGCCAUACUUCCAUAGAUUUGCCUGUUGAAGAGUAAACAUGCCCAAAUGGACACAGGCAGCAAAAGUAAGUCUUACAGUGUCAGUUCCCUGUGCCCCUUGUUCUACAGACAAAACUGAAGAGGCCAUAUGAUAGAUGGUAUGGGUGGUGGAUCACUCUGUUUUUGAGGAGCCCCCUUAGAUCCACAGACAAGCUGUUUUAUAGACUUAAUUUUGAGGUCUGCAGCUUUACCCUAAGUGAGAUUGAGGUGGAAAGUCUUGUGCUGAACUGAAACUGGGGAGAUGGAUGAGAAAUGGCCUUGUGACAGUCUCCCACAGAUAACAGGAGAAACAACCUCCCAGCCGCUCCUCAUCAGGCUGCUUGUCUUCUAUUAGGUUAGGGAAAUCACAGGGCAUUCUGCCAAAACUCAGGUCAGAUGGUAGUCAAGCCUUGUGUACAUGGUCUUUGGGAGAUGAGCGAGGUUGUCAAGCUGGAGAUAUUUCCCUGUUCCUGAUAUCUUCAUCAGUCUUCUUUCUUACAGUGAACUGGUGUUUUGUGCUCUUCUGUCUACAUGGAAGAAUGUGGUCCCCAGUAGCUCCUGAGCUUAUGUGCUCUUGACGUAUUCUAUGGAGAAAGCAAGAGAGUGACUCGUUUAUUUGUUUUUCAUUCCCAGUGUAAAAUGCUGAAGAAGGUCUCAAAAUAAUCCAGUAUUGGUCAGGGGCCCACUUCUGAACCACUCAACUGUAGUCAAUGGGGAGGAUUGGGGAUCUCAGGGGACAUUAUUUUCCAAAGAAGCUAAACAUAUCAUGAGAUGGGCAGUAGAUGUCUUUUAUAACAAUAUAUGUAUGUCGUUUUUUAAGGGACUGUUUGUAAUAUUUAUAUUUAAAAGACUAAAUGAUGCACUGAUAGUUGCUUGAACAAUACACAUCUAAAGACUGGCCUUGAGCUUGUAGCUAUAGCUAUUAUAUAUAGAUAGUUACUAGCGGCAACUUUGGUUUAUAUGAUGAAAGCCAUGCUCAAGACAAGUCAAUAUGUACUAGAGUUUAACAGAGAAGCCUUCUAGUCUGUGUUCUCAGCUUUAAAUAAUAGCAUAAAAUUCAGGUGAGCUAAUAGAAGCCAGUAGAGAGAGCAUCAGGAACAUCAGCAAGGCCUGACUGCACAGGGGUAAGGAAGAGACCAGAAAGAGGCCAGUGGAUUAGUACUCAAAAUAUGGUCCAGGAAUGAGCAGCAUGGACAUGGUAGCAUCUGGAAGCUUGUUAAAAAUAUAGAAUCUCAGGACAAGCCUACCCUAUACCUACCAUAUCAGAAUCUGCAUUUUAGAAAGGUCCCCAAGUCACUGGUUUGCACUUUCAAGUUUUAGAAGCACUGUGUUAGAAGACCUUUGAGAAAAGAAUUAUCCAUGGAAUGGGAGCCAGAUUGUAGAAGGUUGCAAGUUAAAUCUUUCUUAGUUUUCAUUGCUGACCAGAGAGAGGAAAGUGAAUUCUCUACUUCUUAAUUAUGUGCCCUCAAUUUAACUUUCAAGCUUCUUUUCCUAUCCUCUGCCACACAUCCCAUUUGGUAUCUGCUCAAUAGAUCUGUUCACUGUACUUGAAUGUUGCUUAUACCUCUCCAUUUUAAUUUUCAUUGCCUGGGAUGUCUUCCCCUUAUUUUCUCUACCUGUUGAAAUCCUGCCCACUUUCCAAGGGCUGACUUGAAAACUAUUUUCUGUGUAAAUGUCUCCCAGGUGGCUGCUACAGCCCCAUCCAGGUUUAACAUUCUCAUUAACAUUGAAUGAUGCAGAUAAUAAAAAUAGCUAACAUUUAUGGAGUAAAUACUAAAUGUCAUACCUAGUCAAAAUUUUACAUAUGUCUAUGUUUCGAAUCCUCACUACAACUCCAGGAUGAAGAAGCUGAUGCACAGAGGGCCUAAUUAACUUGCCUGUAGUUGCACAAGCAUGUAGAUCAUUUCUGUAGGAACAGGAUAAGAGAGAGGCUAGGAAAUAUUAUUCUCACUGGUAGAUAUUUUUAGAAAUUGGAGAAAUCAAGUCUACUAUGAUCUGUUAUUAUUCUCUCUCUUUUAUUAGUGUGCAUCCCUUAAAACAACUCUUAUCUACUCAUACAAUCCUUUCAGUCUUUCUUCUGAAUGGUAUCUUGCUCUUUCCAAAUAAUUUCAUCUAUAUGGGCAUAAGAUUAGCUUUUAGUGAAAAGAAAAUUCUAAUCCGUCCCACCCAUCAUGUGCAGUUGGGCGAUUGUGGACUGAAAGGGGCUCUGACUUCUGGAGCAGGUGGGAGCUGAGAUGUAGCCUAUGCUUUAAUUCAUAACCUGUGUAUCCUAGAGCAGAGGUAAGUCUGCCUGGGGGAGAAAGGAAAUCUUUUUCUACUUUUUGUGAAGACACUAAAUGGCAGCACACCUGAUAUCCGUGAUGACAGAAUUUCCCCAAACUUGCUGGAGCUCUCAAGGUCCCUGGGCCUCAAUAUCUCCCAGGUCCCACAUCACUGCGUUGCCUGCUCCCCAGUAGGGCUCCAUGAGGUUUCCCUUUUACCCAUAUCUCUUCCUUGGAGCCAGGAGCAUGACUCCACCCCAAACCCUCCCAUUCUCCGUAAUGACCAAUUUGGGCUCUUCCUUGUCUUUCUGAAACUCAUGGGGUUCUUAUUUCCCAUUUCAUGUAGGAGCCUUUUAGGCCUGCUCAGAUGGAUAUCCUCCCCAAAUUCUCACAGAGCUCUGACACCCAACUUCAGAAUCUUCCAGCAUCUCUGACAAAGCCCCCUUGGCCUCCUGAGAGACCCUGUUCUUGGCCAGGCCUGUCCGGCUCCCUUCUGAGAGCUUGGCUAGGCCCUGUCCAAACUGAAUUUCCUCCAUAGUAGAAUCUCUAGGACUUUCCUCCUCCUGCCUCCCAGAAUAUUACACUCGUAUUCCUUGGUGUCUGCAAGUCCCACUCCGAAGUCUGUUGAGGGUAUUUCUCAUCUGUCUAUCAUUUUACAUAUCACCAUGCUGGCAGAACAUUGAUUUACUUCCCAGAAUUUCCUGGCUGUUGUUUCUUCCUCUUCAGCCCCAUGCUGUUUUGUGUCUUGUAGGCAAAAACUCUAACACAUCUUCAAUCACUGUUUUUAUUUUGUGCAUCUCGAUGGAAGUGUUUUAGUCAAGUUGUUUAGUCAAAGUAUCCUGGAAAUAAGUUUUUCAGUUUUGCGCUAGACACAGUUCAAGUGCCUUGUACAGUUAAUCACCUUCAAGGAACCAGAUGAGAGAGUGAAAUGAAAGACUUUUUCUGGAGGCGGGAGACCUGGGAUUCAUGGAUAGGCUUCUGGGAGAUGAACUGCUGAGAGUAUAUGUAAAAUGUACGUUAUGUUGAUGGGAGAGAGUCCAAGGCUUUUAACCUAAAAAAGGGCACUAAAAAGGUAUAGGAUAAUUUCAAAUUUUAUUUUUUAAACUCCUGAUCUUAUAUAUGUUAUGUAUCUUCAUUUUCACAAGAUUUCUUCCUUUUCUUACUCUAAAACAAAAUACAGUUAAAAGAAAAGCCUUAAUAGACAGUAUGUAUACUAGUAGUACUCUAGAUUUUAAUUUGGACUUGGUAAUAAAAGGGCUGAUACACCAGGGGGUAAUCAAGGUUAAAAUUUUGAUCAAGGAAAAUUCUUUUUCAGAAUGGGUGCAAAGGGGACACACGUGUGAUUUCGAUAAAUGGUACCUUUGGAAAUACAGAAUUUGGCAAACUGCAUUUGUUUGUUAAUAAAUUGCAGGUUGUAAUGAAACAGGUGAGCCAUUAUGACACAUCAAAGAGAGGCUGGAACCCAUUAUCUGG